AAAGGGUGCGCAGGCGGCGUGGAAAGUUGAGUGUGAAAUCCCGGGGCUCAACCUCGGAACUGCACUCAAUACUCCCAUGCUAGAGGAAUGUAGAGGAGAGUGGAAUUCACGGUGUAGCAGUGAAAUGCGUAGAUAUCGUGAGGAAGACCAGUUGCGAAGGCGACUCUCUGGGCAUUUCCUGACGCUCAUGCACGAAGGCUAGGGGAGCAAACGGGAUUAGAUACCCUUGU
rnacentral:rRNA from 1 species